AGCAGCCGCGGUAAUUCCAGCUCCAAUAGCGUAUAUUAAAGUUGCUGCAGUUAAAAAGCUCGUAGUUGAAUUUCGGGACUAAUAUGUUGGUCGUGCCUCGGUACGUACUGAUAUUUUUGGUUUCUCCCUUCUGACGAACCUUGAUGUCAUUAAUUUGGUGUCUUGGGAAAUCAGGACUGUUACUUUGAAAAAAUUAGAGUGUUUAAAGCAGGCUCACGCUUGAAUACAUUAGCAUGGAAUAAUGAAAUAGGACGUUUGAUUCUAUUUUGUUGGUUUCUAGGAUCGACGUAAUGAUUAAUAGGGAUAGUUGGGGGCAUUAGUAUUCAAUUGUCAGAGGUGAAAUUCUUGGAUUUAUUGAAGACUAACUACUGCGAAAGCAUUUGCCAAGGAUGUUUUCAUUAAUCAAGAACGAAAGUUAGGGGAUCGAAGACGAUCAGAUACCGUCGUAGUCUUAACCAUAAACUAUGCCGACUAGGGAUCGGAUGAUGUAAUUUUUAAUGACUCAUUCGGCGCCUUACGG
rnacentral:rRNA from 1 species